GCGGGAGUGGUGGAAUUGGUAGACACGCUGGAUUUAGGUUCCAGUGUCCUAGACGUGAGAGUUCGAGUCUCUCCUUCCGCA
rnacentral:tRNA from 1 species